GAUGAACGCUGGCGGCGUGCCUAAUACAUGCAAGUCGAGCGAACAGACGAGGAGCUUGCUCCACUGACGUUAGCGGCGGACGGGUGAGUAACACGUGGAUAACCUACCUAUAAGACUGGGAUAACUUCGGGAAACCGGAGCUAAUACCGGAUAAUAUAUUGAACCGCAUGGUUCAAUAGUGAAAGACGGUUUUGCUGCCACUUAUAGAUGGAUCCGCGCCGCAUUAGCUAGUUGGUAAGGUAACGGCUUACCAAGGCAACGAUGCGUAGCCGACCUGGGAGGGUGAACGGCCACACGGGAACUGAGACACGGUCCAGACUCCUACGGGAGGCAGCAGUAGGGAAUCUUCCGCGAUGGGCGAAAGCCUGACGGAGCAACGCCGCGUGAGUGAUGAAGGUCUUCGGAUCGUAAAACUCUGUUAUUAGGGAAGAACAAAUGUGUAAGUAACUAUGCACGUCUUGACGGUACCUAAUCAGAAAGCCACGGCUAACUACGUG
rnacentral:rRNA from 1 species